UACGUAGGCCGCGAGCGUUGUUCGGAAUUACUGGGCGUAAAGAGUGUGUAGGCGGUGCUCUAAGUUCGGUGUGAAAUCUCCCGGCUCAACUGGGAGGGUGCGCCGAAUACUGAAUGACUAGAGUGCGGGAGAGGAGAGUGGAAUUCCUGGUGUAGCGGUGAAAUGCGUAGAUAUCAGGAGGAACGCCGGUGGUGUAGACGGCUCUCUGGACCGUAACUGACGCUGAGGCACGAAAGCGUGGGUAGCAAACAGG
rnacentral:rRNA from 1 species